UCCCUGGUAGCCCAGUGGUUAGGACUCAGCUCUUUCUCUGUUGUGGCCCAGGUUCAAACCCUGAUCAGGGAA
rfam:Ovis aries breed Texel chromosome 1, whole genome shotgun sequence.